rnacentral:rRNA from 1 species
AGCGAUAACGCCGUUCGUANGACUGGUGUCUAUGAUUUAUAUAAACCUUUGUAUGUUUUUGAAUGUCUUUUUAUUGGCCGUAAGGCUAGUAAAUCUAUACAACUUUCAGCAACGGAUCUCUUGGCUCUCCCAUCGAUGAAGAACGCAGCGAAAUGCGAUAAGUAAUGUGAAUUGCAGAAUUCAGUGAAUCAUCGAAUCUUUGAACGCACCUUGCGCCCUUUGGUAUUCCGAAGGGCAUGCUUGUUUGAGUGUCAUUAAAUUCUCAAAAACCUUUGGUUUGUUCUGAAGGCUUUUGGAUGUGAGGGCUUGCUGGCUUUCGGGUCUGCUCCCUUUAAAUGCAUUAGUGGAUUCCUUUGUGAACGGUCACUUGGUGUGAUAAUCUAUCUACGCCGCUUGACUUGAAGCAAGCCUUAUGGGAGUUCGCUCAUAACCGUCUUUCGAGACAACUCUUUGACCAUUUGACCUCAAAUCAAGUAGGACUACCCGCU